rnacentral:rRNA from 1 species
UACGGGGGGGGCAAGCGUUGUUCGGAGUUACUGGGCGUAAAGGGCUCGUAGGUGGCCAACUAAGUCAGACGUGAAAUCCCUCGGCUUAACCGGGGAACUGCGUCUGAUACUGGAUGGCUGGAGUAUGGGAGAGGGAUGCGGAAUUCCAGGUGUAGCGGUGAAAUGCGUAGAUAUCUGGAGGAACACCGGUGGCGAAGGCGGCAUCCUGGACCAUUACUGACGCUGAGGAGCGAAAGCCAGGGGAGCAAACGGG